rnacentral:lncRNA from 1 species
GAGCCGUUUUACUACCGAUUUGUUUUCGAUGAUAGAGCUUCCAAAUUGACAAUCGGCUCCGUUAAAUAUGAUCUAAACCAUUUAAACUAUUUAGAAAUCAAAUUUCACGCACUUUCGAUAUUGUUCUUUCAUCCAUCAAGUGAACAGAAAAAUAAAUGGCUGAAAAUGAAUACUCUUUAAAAAAUGAUGAUAGGAGUCUUGUAAUAAAGAUUAAGAGUAUAGAUCUUGUUUUAAAUAGUUUAAAGAAUUUUCUAACAAAAAUUCUUUAGAUUUGGAUAUCUUUACGCCGUUAAACGAGAAAACGCCUCUUAUCGACUAUUAAAAUUACAAAUUUUGCAACCCUUUGAUCAUUAGGUAAAUGAUGUCGAAAAGAUUUGAAAUUUUAUUUCUAAACACUUCAAGUGGUAUAGAUCAUGUUCAAUGGAGCCGAUCGUCAAUUUGGAAGUUCUAUCAUUGAAAACAAAUCGGUAGUAAAACGGCUCGUUUACUACCGAUAGUACUCUAGCUCAACUCUCUCUCUCUCUAUAUAUAGUAGAGCUACUAUGCUAUCGAAAGUAUAGAGGAUCUGGUGCUUUCGAUUUUUUGAUUCUUAGAUCAACCCCUUUAAUCAUUUCUUAUCUUUGGAUUAAUACUAUUAUUAGCUUGUAGGGAUUACUCAAUCUUAGGGGUAUUAUUUAAUCCUAGGGGGACCGCAAUCAUCCUAACCAUACAAUUCUUAAUCAAAGGGUCAAAAAUUCAAAAACAUCAAAUCCUCUAUAUUUUCGAUAGCAUAGUAGUUGUACACUAUAUAUAUAUAUAUUAAAAAAUAUAAAAAUAUAAUAUAUUUUAAUUAUAUAUAGGUUGAGUGAAUAAUCUGAGUUUAGUUAAAAUUGGGCCAAUGUUGUUGGCCCAUAAAAAUAAACCCAAUAGACAAAUAAAAGAGCAAAAUUUCACUAAAUUGAUAUAUUUUUCCUUUCUUUCUUUUUUUCACAGAGCUCUAAAUUUUCAAUAUGUUUCUCUCUUUCUUUUUUCUGUCUCUCACCCUAAGUGGCCAAGCCGGAAACCAUCCAAGUUACCAAGUAACAACAUAUGCCCGCCGUUGCCUACCUUGCUAUUAAUUGUAUGCUUGAAAAAAUAUACAGAAUAUUUUUAAAAUAAAAAUUAUUAUUCAUAUAAAAUUUAAAUUUAGUUAUAUAUAAUUGGAUAGUUUAAUCCAAUAUUUAUCUAUAUAAUUUAUUUAUUUUUGACUGCAUAAAUAAAAAUGAAUAAUAUGGAGAUUGAAAGUGGAAGAAAAGAUAUGUGAGGCUGAAAAGAUUAGAUAUUCAACUCAUAAAUUAUUUUUUCUCAUAUUACAAUACUAUAUUUCAUAUAAUUAUUUUGUACUUUGAAUUAUUAGACAUAUUUUUGUAUCAAAUUACAGAUAAUGUUCUAUACAAAUUAAACUAUUAAUCGAU